ACAGGGAGCAGCUGGGCUGGGGCAUUUCCUCUGCAGGACAGGCCUCAGAGCAAAUGCUGUGCAGAUCUCCAAAAAAGAAUGAGAUUUACUGAUGGUACCCCGAAGUCUGCGGGGCUGGGCUAAUUAAUAGAUGGAAUUUGCGCCGCGGUGGGGAGGAACUGGCCGGGAUUUCUUGGUGUUUCCUGGAUAGAAGAGGGGAUGCUGGAGGUGAGGAGCUGCUGCACAACUGGAGCCGCAAACUCCUGCGUUUUGGUGAGGCUGCCAGAGCUGGAAAUAACCUUGGGAGGAGAGCCCAUGCGGAGAGGGGACAAUAAAGGGGACACGGAUGGGUGGCAGAAGGGUCAGCCCCGUGCUGCUCACCCAGGGAGAGAGAGCGAGGAGCUUUCCCCCAAAAAACGCUGCUCUGCAGGCUCAGCGCCCAUGAAAUAAAAAAAAUAAAUAAAU